rnacentral:ncRNA from 1 species
UAAAAGUUUGGUCCUGACUUUAUUAUCAACUAUAGCUAAACUUACACAUGCAAGCAUCCGCACCCCUGUGAAGUACGCCCUACGCAUCUCCCCCAGAGAACGAGGAGCAGGCAUCAGGCACAAACACAUUUAGCCCAUGACGCUUUGCUAAGCCACACCCCCACGGGAACUCAGCAGUGAUAAACAUUAAGCCAUAAGCGAAAGCUUGACUUAGUUAAAGUUAAGAGGGCCGGUAAAACUCGUGCCAGCCACCGCGGUUAUACGAGAGGCCCAAGUUGAUAACAGUCGGCGUAAAGCGUGGUUAGGACAUCAACCCUACUAAAGUCGAAUGUCCUCAAAGCUGUUAUACGCACCCGAGGAUAAGAAGUUCAAAUACGAAAGUAACUUUAUAAUGUCUGAACCCACGAAAGCUACGGCACAAACUGGGAUUAGAAACCCCACUAUGCCUAGCCCUAAACAUUGGCAACACAAAACACCCGUUGCCCGCCCGGGCACUACGAGCAUUAGCUUAAAACCCAAAGGACUUGGCGGUGCUUUAGACCCACCUAGAGGAGCCUGUUCUAGAACCGAUACCCCCCGUUAAACCUCACCCUUUCUUGUCAUUACCGCCUAUAUACCGCCGUCGUCAGCUUACCCUGUGAAGGAUUAGUAGUAAGCAAAGUUGUCACAACCCAAAACGUCAGGUCGAGGUGUAGCCUAUGAAAGGGGAAGAAAUGGGCUACAUUCACUAAUUAAGAGAAUACGAACGAUGUGUUGAAACACACACCCAAAGGAGGAUUUAGCAGUAAGCAAAAAAUAGAGCGUUUUGCUGAAAAUGGCCCUGAAGCGCGCACACACCGCCCGUCACUCUCCCCAAGCUAACGACUAAAUAUAAUUAAAGCCUAAUAACUGCAAAGGGGAGGCAAGUCGUAACAUGGUAAGUGUACCGGAAAGUGCACUUGGAAAAACCA